GAUGAACGCUGGCGGCGUGCCUAAUACAUGCAAGUCGAGCGAACGGACGAGAAGCUUGCUUUUCUGAUGUUAGCGGCGGACGGGUGAGUAACACGUGGAUAACCUACCUAUAAGACUGGGAUAACUUCGGGAAACCGGAGCUAAUACCGGAUAAUAUUUUGAACCGCAUGGUUCAAAAGUGAAAGACGGUCUUGCUGUCACUUAUAGAUGGAUCCGCGCUGCAUUAGCUAGUUGGUAAGGUAACGGCUUACCAAGGCAACGAUGCAUAGCCGACCUGAGAGGGUGAUCGGCCACACUGGAACUGAGACACGGUCCAGACUCCUACGGGAGGCAGCAGUAGGGAAUCUUCCGCAAUGGGCGAAAGCCUGACGGAGCAACGCCGCGUGAGUGAUGAAGGUCUUCGGAUCGUAAAACUCUGUUAUUAGGGAAGAACAUAUGUGUAAGUAACUGUGCACAUCUUGACGGUACCUAAUCAGGAAGCCACGGCUAACUACGUGCCAGCAGCCGCGGUAAUACGUAGGUGGCAAGCGUUAUCCGGAAUUAUUGGGCGUAAAGCGCGCGUAGGCGGUUUUUUAAGUCUGAUGUGAAAGCCCACGGCUCAACCGUGGAGGGUCAUUGGAAACUGGAAAACUUGAGUGCAGAAGAGGAAAGUGGAAUUCCAUGUGUAGCGGUGAAAUGCGCAGAGAUAUGGAGGAACACCAGUGGCGAAGGCGACUUUCUGGUCUGUAACUGACGCUGAUGUGCGAAAGCGUGGGGAUCAAACAGGAUUAGAUACCCUGGUAGUCCACGCCGUAAACGAUGAGUGCUAAGUGUUAGGGGGUUUCCGCCCCUUAGUGCUGCAGCUAACGCAUUAAGCACUCCGCCUGGGGAGUACGACCGCAAGGUUGAAACUCAAAGGAAUUGACGGGGACCCGCACAAGCGGUGGAGCAUGUGGUUUAAUUCGAAGCAACGCGAAGAACCUUACCAAAUCUUGACAUCCUUUGACAACUCUAGAGACAGAGCCUUCCCCUUCGGGGGACAAAGUGACAGGUGGUGCAUGGUUGUCGUCAGCUCGUGUCGUGAGAUGUUGGGUUAAGUCCCGCAACGAGCGCAACCCUUAAGCUUAGUUGCCAUCAUUAAGUUGGGCACUCUAAGUUGACUGCCGGUGACAAACCGGAGGAAGGUGGGGAUGACGUCAAAUCAUCAUGCCCCUUAUGAUUUGGGCUACACACGUGCUACAAUGGACAAUACAAAGGGCAGCGAAACCGCGAGGUCAAGCAAAUCCCAUAAAGUUGUUCUCAGUUCGGAUUGUAGUCUGCAACUCGACUACAUGAAGCUGGAAUCGCUAGUAAUCGUAGAUCAGCAUGCUACGGUGAAUACGUUCCCGGGUCU
rnacentral:rRNA from 1 species